AUGGCAUCUCUUGUGCAUGACUCCAUACUGAAUGACUGCAACAGGAAUUGAUAGGGGUACAUCUUACCCGGCAGUGCUUGGCUGUUCACUGAUGUUCUAACACUGUCUGGUAACGAUGCACUCUGGGGGCUCAGUCACCGUGCAUGGAGUUAAUUGAAUAUGAACAUAAAAGUGAAGUAUAUGAAAUAAAGCAUGUUGGCAUGUGACUAGAAUAUGUUUUUUAAAUCAAAUCAGUGAUUUAAAAUGGAAAAACCAGUUGAGACGGCUUGAUUGAUAUAAAAGGAGUCUGAUUAAAUACCAGAGAAGAAAAUAGACCAUCAGGUCUGAACCGCACCCUGUUUCAUCCAAAUGCCUGCAUGAAUGUCACGAAAGUAAUUCCUCCAUAUCACACACCCUCUAAUGUGUGCUAGUCAAGAUCAGUUCAUCCUCCUUUUCUUGUGUCUUAUUGUGUGCAUGACACCUGAGAUCUGUGUGACAACACUAAUUGAACUGCACCUACACAGUUCACCUUUCCUGUUUGCUGUACAGAACAGGAAGUGAUGAUUUGAAACCCAUUUUACUUCUUUUCCUGGUCAUAUAAUGGAAAAUGCAAAGAAGCUAACUUUUAAGCAAUUUAAUGAUAAAAGAAACAUGCAAAUAACCCACACACUCAAAUAUGACAAAUAUUGUUUGUUAUAUCUAUGACCCAGUAAAAUAUUUUGUUUGUAUUCUGAAUGUGAAGAAGGAAUAAUGUCACUUUCUGUUCAUUAAGUAAUUGCAAUUGUUCACCGAGAAAUGAAAAUUCUGUCAUCAUUUACUCAACUUCAUGCACUUGUUUUUGCCUGAACAAAACAUUAUACAUAACCUGAUCAAGUUUACAUCACAAUCUAUAUGGAUGCUGACUCUUCUGACAUUGACCCUUUAGGUUUAUGGUUUAUUAACCUGCCAUGAUGAAUAUCUGCUUGCACUUUAUGCUUUACUAGACCCUUUAAACAGUUUCCUUUAAGACCUUUCUCCUGAAAAAAAAUAACCACUUUAAUUCGUCAUUUUCUUUUUGUCUGCUUUCAUCUCUUCUAGUCACAUGACAUCAGACCUUUUCUUCUGCCUCUCCGCUGCAGUAAAAUCCUUUGAUUUGUGUCUUACCAGGCAAGGUUAGAUGUUGAUACUCUGUCUAAUACUGCCUGGUAAUGCCAUCAAUCACGAGGAAUUUGAUCAACAUUUAUCCUUUUCCUAAUGUAGUGACACUGUGACAAUGUAACAUUGACACAUUUUUAGAAUUGCUGUCUAAUACAGUAUUGAGUAUGUAUUUUCUUUUGACGUAUUAAAGAAUAUGGAUCUGACUGUU